GUACUGCUGAGGAGUCCCGUCAUAGGACGAAAUGAUCGUCCAGUGC
rnacentral:hammerhead_ribozyme from 1 species